rnacentral:rRNA from 1 species
UGGGACACAGCACGAAUGGAUGGGCUUAUGUCCCAUUAGUUAGUUGGCGGGGUAACGGCCCACCAAGACGAUGAUGCGUAGCCGACCUGAGAGGGUGACCGGCCACACUGGGACUGAGACACGGCCCAGACUCCUACGGGAGGCAGCAGUAGGGAAUUUUCGGCAAUGGGCGCAAGCCUGACCGAGCAACGCCGCGUGAGUGAUUAAGGCCUUCGGGUUGUAAAGCUCUGUUGUAAGGGAAGAACAUUCAGGAUAGGAAAUGAUCUUGAACUGACGGUACCUUACCAGAAAGCCACGGCUAACUACGUGCCAGCAGCCGCGGUAAUACGUAGGUGGCAAACGUUGUCCGGAAUUACUGGGCGUAAAGGGCGAGUAGGUGGUUUAUUAAGUCUAUGGUGAAAGUGCGGGGCUCAACCCCGUAUGGCCAUAGAAACUGGUAGACUUGAGUGCAAGAGAGGGAAGUGGAAUUCCUAGUGUAGCGGUGAAAUGCGUAGAUAUUAGGAGGAACACCAGUGGCGAAGGCGACUUCCUGGCUUGUAACUGACACUGAGGCGCGAAAGCGUGGGGAUCAAACAGGAUUAGAUACCCUGGUAGUCCACGCCGUAAACGAUGAGUACUAAGUGUAGGGGAAACUCUGUGCUGUAGUUAACGCAAUAAGUACUCCGCCUGAGUAGUACGUACGCAAGUAUGAAACUCAAAGGAAUUGACGGGACCCCGCACAAGCGGUGGAUCAUGUUGUUUAAUUCGAUGAUACGCGAAGAACCUUACCAGGUCUUGACAUCCCAUGCAAAGCUAUAGAGAUAUAGUGGAGGUUAUCAUGGAGACAGGUGGUGCAUGGUUGUCGUCAGCUCGUGUCGUGAGAUGUUGGGUUAAGUCCCGCAACGAGCGCAACCCUUGUCUUUAGUUGCCAGCAUUAAGUUGGGCACUCUAAAGAGACUGCCGGUGUCAAACCGGAGGAAGGUGGGGAUGACGUCAAGUCCUCAUGGCCUUUAUGACCAGGGCUACACACGUACUACAAUGGCAUAAACAAAGGGCAGCGACAUCGCGAGGUGAAGCGAAUCCCAGAAAGCCGGUCUCAGUUCGGAUUGCAGGCUGCAACUCGCCUGCAUGAAGUCGGAAUCGCUAGUAAUCGCAGGUCAGCAUACUGCGGUGAAUACGUUCCCGGGCCUUGUACACACCGCCCGUGAA